GGACCGGGUGGGGAGCGGUAGCACGCCCGCGAGGCUGCAGAGCGCCGGAGUGACGGCAGGGGACGCACGCGCCUCGCCACUGCUUUUCGAGCCUAAUCAUUCCUUGAAGAAAGGGGUUGUGAGAGAUGAGUGAGGGGCCCAGGGCUCUGAUUCAUGCUGAGGUUGUAAGAGCCACAGAUGGAUUUGAGAGAAGUUGGGACAGCCCCACCCCCACCCCAGCCACAGCCAAGUCCCAGGUCAUGGAGAAAACGUGACUGCUGAUGACCAGUGAACUGGAUCCAGGCCCUCGGAGGCUCCUCAGCCCCUCCUCUCUCUGGUUUUGGAAUGUGGGUUCUGCUGGACGCCCUCACUCCCAGAGGCUGCUCCAAGGACACAGCCUUGAGUUAGUUCGGUGGUGUUCAGAGCAACUGGACGGCAUACGUGACUGAACCCAGGUGAGGCCUCUGUCUCAACGUGUGAGUGUGGCGAGUGGGUGUGGAGACCUGCACCUCGUGGCUCCCCAUGACUAGCCUCGUUCCCUUGCUUAUUAGACUUUCCACCCAGCAGCCUGGUGGCCUGCCUCUUGCUUCGGUCUCUCCCUGCUCCCUGUGUGGGGGCCGGUUUCAGAUCACACCUGGGAAGCCUUGGAGGAGCCUGUGAACCAGCCUUAUCGUCUGUGCCCUUGAGGCUAUUAAUGCUUAUUGUACCCGUGUAAUAGAAAUGCUCCUUAAUGGGUGUCCUGCUGGCAUUUCUUCUCAGCUUUGUGAUCAGUGACAUCAUGUUGGUGGCUUGAAGUUGGCCAUGAUGGAAAUAUUUACACCAUAGAAAUCAGUAAAUGUUGUAAGUCAAAGCUUUUCUGUGAUUAUUGUUCAACAUCUGCCAGCAUACCACUCACUACAAGCAAGCUUUGGGAACCGAGAACACCUUCCUAUUUCUGAGGAAAAUGGUAAAUGAGGGAAAAUAAGGCAGAAAAGUAAGACAUGAAGUGCUGGUAAUGUGUAGGAAAUUUCCAGGAAAUCCUGACUGAUAAUUAGAAAGAGAGGGCCUCUGGGACGCCUGGCUGGCUCAGUCAGUAGAGUAUGUGGCUCUUGAUUUCCGGGUGGUGAGUUUGAACCCCAUGUUGGAUGUAGAGAUUACUAAUAAUAAUAAAAGAGAGAAAGGGCUUCUUACUUCCAUGAAUGUAACACCAUGUUUGGUAUCAUUUUGGACCCCUUGUGUGGACAAGAUGUGGCCCAGGAGCUCCUCUGGGGCUUUUAAGUACACUUCUUGCUUUUGGUCCAAAGGCAGUACUGUAGCACCAGGGACUACUUGCACCUUCUCAGAGGAUGAGGGUCAAAAAAAGGCCCCUCUAAGUACACACUGGCUAUUCAGUUCAGAAGGCUGCACAACAUGAUUUUUCAUCAAGGGUUGCAAGAAGGGCUGGGGCAGUGCACAGCCCCAUGUCCUGAGACUACUUUCAUGGCCAAAGGAGAAAGGGUGGAGGUCCUCUGGGUUGAGAAUGAGCUUUUCUGGGAGGAGCACAGGGUGCGGCUUUGCUGGCGCCAGGGCACAGGGCAAGUGCACUUCUGUAUUAUUCGUUAUAACUCCUGGACAGCUGAUCGAUCACCUGCCACUCGAGAGCACUGUUGAUCUAUAAGGAACACUGGCAGGCAGGCCUCCAAUCAGACUAAAGAAUAAGAUGGGCUUGCUCGGGGGCACCUGGGUGGCUCAUUCAGUUAAGUGUCUGACUCCUAGUUUUG